rnacentral:rRNA from 1 species
UAAAUGGCUGCAACGAGAGUUGUACUAAGGUAGCGCGAUAAUUUGUCUCUUAAUUAGAGAAUGGUAUAAAGGGUUAGACGUGGGAUUAUUGUCUCUAAAAAAAUACAGUUAAGUUUCCUUUUAAAUAAAAAGGUUUAAAUUUAUUAAAAGACGAGAAGACCCUGUCGAGCUUAAUUAAAUAAAAAACUAGAUAUGGUUAAAUGAAAAGUGUUAAUAGUUUAAUUGUUGGCUGAGUUUUUAAUUCGAAGUUUAGUUGGGGAGAGCUGAGUUUAAGGUAAUAAACUUAAGAAAUACUAAAGAUCCUCUUUGAGAGAAGUUAGCAAAAGCUACCGCAGGGAUAACAGCGUAAUUCUUUUUAAGAGAUCUUAUUGAGGGAAGAGUUUGCGACCUCGAUGUUGGAUUAGAAAAA